UACGUAGGGACCGAGCGUUGUCCGGAAUCAUUGGGCGUAAAGAGCGUGUAGGCGGCCACUUAAGUCCUGCGUGAAAUCUUGCGGCUCAACCGCAAGCGGUCGUGGGAAACUGGGUGGCUAGAGUGCGGGAGAGGAGAGUGGAAUUCCUGGUGUAGCGGUGGAAUGCGCAGAUAUCGGGAGGAACACCAGUGGCGAAGGCGGUUGCCUGGAGCUUUGCUGACGCUGAGGCGCGAAAGCGUGGGGAGCGAUCCGG
rnacentral:rRNA from 1 species